rnacentral:lncRNA from 1 species
GGGUUGUUGGAUUUGGAGGAUCUAAUAGGGUUGAUGGAAGAAGGAGGAGAAGAAGAAAAGUUGAAGGAUUUGAGAGAAGCUUUUGGGAUGUAUGAUGUUAAUGGAUGUGGGUUCAUCACACCUCAAGGACUCAAGAGAAUGCUCAGCAAACUUGGGGAGUCAAAGUCAAUUGAUGACUGUAAGGUGAUGAUCAAGCAAUUUGACCUCAAUGGAGAUGGUGUUCUCAGCUUUGAGGAAUUCAAAGUUAUGAUGCAGUGAUUUUCUUUUCUUUUUACCCUUUUCAUUGCUUUCAUUUUCUGAUGAUCAAUUUGUUCUUUGGGAUUCAUCAUCAUUGCACUAUAUAUAUAUUCUUGUAAUUAUUUAUUAUUGUUCACUAGUUAAAUUACUGAAUUUCUUACAUUCUUCUCCAUUUUCUCUUGUCUUGGAAAGAUUAAAACAAACCAGCUUUUUUCUAAUAUUUUGCUAUCAUUAAUGAAAGUUAAGCCUCUAUGAAACUUUGUACCAUAUAUUGUUCUACUUCUUCCUUUGUUUGGUGAGUUAGAAAUGAAGGUUUUUGAAGGUGAAAUUCGUAAAAAAAUUUUUAUUAAGAAUCAUCCAAUAAAAAUAUUAAUAAAAGAUCUAAAUUGAUAGAUCAUCUUAUAUCUCCCUCUUCUCCAGGAAGAAAGUUUCAGGUUUGUUGCUUGAUUAGCAGCUUCCUCUUGCUCAAAUUGAGGUUCAGCCGAAAGGAAAGAUGCAACAAAGAUAUUCUUGCAUAACAUUGAAGAUAUCAGCAGCAGCAAAUCCAUUUGACAUGAUAGCAAUAGUUAUAUCUUAUAAUGUCCUGAGGAGAAAAAAGAUAGAUGAAAGAAAGUUCAAAAUUCAACAUCCUCAUUAAUUUUUUUAAGCCGAGAAGUGAGCCUGUGGACUGAGAUUGCUCCUCUAGUAUUCCUGGAUUUUCAGUCUGGAGUGUGUCUCUUUUUCUUUGGAGGCGACUCUGCUUCAUGAGGGAAUAGCCAUCUGCAUUGCAUCAUGUCCAGCAAACGAGACUGCAAAUGCUUAUUCAUUUCCAUUACAUGCUUUGUCAUGCUUGUAACCCACAUUCGAUCUUCUAUGCUCUUCUCCAGUUUCAUUUGCAUCAUUGCUGGUGUUUGUUCUCGCUGCCCAAGAAUCCAAAACAACAUGAUGAUCAAAUCUACCACAGUCCACACAACAUAUGUUUCAGUAAUUUCCACAACUAGUAACAGAAUAUCAAGUAACUACACUUUUGUGACUUUUAUUGUUCCUUGCAUAAGGGGCAAAGAUGCAUCUAAAAUUCUACAGAUUAAAUGCUGCACUUAUAUCGUUAUGCGCCAAAAUAAACCAGGCAUGAGAGACAGAGAGGGAGAGGGAGAGGGAGAGAGACCUCUGAAUCCAAUAUUAAGUGGUCUAGCAAAUUGUUUCCCUGGAAAUUGGUUGCAGUUUGCUUGUUGAGGCAAGCCGACAAAGAGAGCAAAGGAACCAUUCCCUUGCCCGAGUUGGAAGGCUGAGGAUACUUUUGGAGCAAAGAAACACGAAACUGAUUGGGAACUCUUCGAUGGUUUGACAUCGAAAACAAUGCAGACUGAUUAAUCACUACCAUAUUAGUCACUGCACCUGUUCACAAUUGAAACUAACAUUAGAGCUGAAAAAAUUUCAAUUCUUUAUUCUGUCAUCUGGAUUUGUACCAAAGCUGAACAGUGAAAAUGUGACAUUUUUGUUGUUGUUUUUCUAUUCUGCAUUUUUAUUGCAAAACUGAAUAAAAACCAUAUCAAAAGAGAGGAGAAUCCUUCAGGAAAUGAAAUGUAGUAAUAUUUACCUUUCUUAUGGUUGAAUCUUCUGAUAACCACCCUGUUGAUUGUAUCCCAAAGGCAGAAGGUGAAAUCCUCCGAUGCAGAUAUCAAACCAAAUCCACUGAAAGUCAAUGUAGUUAUAGAUCCACUGCAAAUAAUAUUGGAUUAUUUAAGUCUCUUCAUAGGAUUUCAUAUGUACAUACAAAUACUUGGGCAAAAUGCAGUGAUGAUUACUACAAGAACAACUUUAAUGCCAAAUCAACAGAAGCCUUCUAUAAAUUUCAGUCUCCAGGAGAAUUUAAGAAAUUUCCAGCACCAUACGUUACGCGUUACUUGUGUCCUUUUAGCUAAAAUGCUUGAUCUUCAGUAGUGACGAGAGGAUCCCCAACUAAUCCGAGAUCAAGCACAUUAACAAAUAUUUUACCGUCUACACUACCAGAAAACAGUAGCUGCUCUACCGGAUGAUGAGUGUUUGCUGUUAUUGAUGUUGGAUAAACAUGAGUUUGUAAAAGCUUUCCUGAAACUAGGUCCUAAACCUGCUAAUAAGCAACGCGUCGCCCUUGGAUAAGAAAAGUUGCAACACAGAAGAUAUAAUCAAGUGAAGUGUGAGCAGUAAUGCAGUUUUUAACAGACCUUGCAUGUUCCAUCCAGAGAGCUUGAUACGAAAAUGUAAUGUGCACCAGCUGACAUAGUCACUAAACCAGUUAUGGAAGAUCUGUGUUCUGAUGAGUAAUGUAGCGAAGGAGGUAAACUUACCGAAUCUUCCACAUCUAGCAAACUUUAAUCAAAUUGGUCAGAUUGAGGCAUCUAUGAUUAAUUUUCUAGUUUAAUCAAAUAAAUUUGGUUGGAGUCAGGAGCAAAGGGGAAAGGAAUCAACAGAAAAUUUUUAGUGUUUACCUAAUCAUUGACCAAACACAGAUUAUUCCAUCAGUAGAAGCACAAAUAAGAAGCGAAUCAUCAUCAGAAAAGACCAUACACUUCAAAGACUUAUGAUGAGCACGCCGUGUUCUUAGCAAUCUUCCGUUAGCAACCUUAUCGGUUUCAUCAUAUCAGAAAAAUGCUUGGAUGGUGUUCUUUUAUGCCUAAAUGAAGUUGAUCCACUAGCUGUUCGAUUUUAGCACCAAAUUUUGAAUGAUUGAUGCAACAUGCAAACAACUACAACUACAACAUUUUAAUAUAGCCUAGAUGACUUUGUUGUUUAAGGCACUAUAGCUGCUGAAAUAAAAAUUCCCUAAAAGGAAUUCAUCAGAUGAAAUGUGGGAUUGAUGGUUCUUUUUUGCCCUUAUGGACAAGAGGAGAGUGGUACUUACCUCCCAGAGAUAAGCAUUCCCGGAAGAAGCUCCACCUGCAAUAUAUAUGCCAUCCUUUGUGCAAGAAAGGGGGAAAAUAGCCUCCAUUGUGAGUGGUGAUUGAGGCUGAAGAUAUGAGGGGACAAAAGUAUGUCACAUGGAGCUUCUUAUAUGAUAUGACAGUUGCUUUUUGAGGAUAUACAACUGCUUAUAACUACGACAUAAAAAGGGAAAUACAAAAAUCAUUCAGAAUGGCCACAACAAAUCCCUCUAAUGGCUUAUAAAUUAGCAAUACGUUCUGGCUUUGUUUACUGGCAAUCUUCAGAAUAUCAGCUGCCUUCACAAUUCACAUUUCCAACAACAAAGAAUUAUAUAUGUACAAAAAUUGAAAUAACAGAAACAAUGUCAAAAUCAAUUUCAUGAAUUCUUUUAGGUAGAGUAGAGGGGAUUAAGAAGAAUCAGGAAAAACAAGGGAAAGGUGGAGUUAUUCAACUGGGAGCGGGAUUAAUAAUAGGAAGGAUAUCCGCCAAGACCCGCGUGGCCUGUUCAUAGAGUGCUGGACUCUUGGUUCUAAUGAUUACGUUCAAAUUCUAACAAGCUAACUACCAACAAAAAGAACAGAAAAGGGUAUCCAAAUGCGAUCAUGAGUGAAGUUUGCUUUGAAAUCAAAUUGAUAUAAAGGUUUGCCAAAUCAAAAUUGAUAUUAAAAUGUACAAAAACAAAGGCAUUAAUGAUGAAUCAAAAUCACCCAUUGAAGAAACAAAUUCCCAUAUCCAAAAGACUACUAUAAUUAAGCAAAAAUCAUGACAAUGACCAAAUCAAAAAUGGAUUUAAAGUUCAGCUUGUCAUUACCUUAUUCAAAGGCCAAAUAAAGAUAGACCCACCACCAAAUGAACCAUGCCUGUUACUUUGAGAAGCAACAAGGAACUGGUUCCUCAAACACAACAGCCCAUGAGGAGCAGCAGCACAGGUGGGAAUAUGAAGAAGUUGCUCCCCGGUUUUCAUGUCCCAUAUAGUUAUCCCAACUCCCGUACUCCUAUCACUACAAACCACCAAAGCCUCUUCAUUCUUGCCCAUCUCCAUCAAUAAGAAUAACUGACAGACACAAAUGUAUAUAUAUAUACAUAUAUAUAGUUGGCAAACAUCAAAGGUUUGCAAUUGCAUGUCAGGUGAGAAUGACGCUUGGCUUAAGAAGUUUGUGAAAGGUGACAAAGUUAGUUGGGGGGACAAUUUUUUGCUCCUUCCUGAAAAGAAGUUGCAUUUAUGCAGGUGUUGUUCAUGCAACAACUGAUGUGUCAUUUAUAAAAAAAAAUAAAAACAAAAUACAACUGAUAUGUCGGUUCAGUUGCAUCUAAAUCAGGACAAAAAAAAAUAUAAGAACAAGAGUAUAAUAUAUAUUUUUAACAAAUAAGACGCUUAAGGAUAAAAGAAAAAAUUAUAAAAGUUAAAAAUUAUAAAUAUCCAAAUUUGAAUAUAAAUAUGUUGAAUAUCAUCAUGAUUAUAUGAACAAUUGAAUUAAGUCUUAAAUUUAUACAAUAUUUUUAAUUAAUAAAAUAUAUUCGAAAUAUGAAUUUAUAGUUUAUCCUUUUAUUUUAAUUUGAUAAUUUUUAAUCCAUUUACUUCAAUUUUAAUAAAUGUAAUCUUAUAGUUUUAUUAAAAGUCAAUUUAAAAACAAAUGAUAAAUAUUUAUCAUUUAUUUUUUGUCAUGUGCUUUUUUUAUGACGCGUUUGUCAAUUUAAUUUUUUUUUUAUUACACGGCACACAUUAACACAAAAAAAAACUUUUAUUUUCAAUGAAAAUAUUAAAAAAAUAUUUGUUUAGAAUAUAAAUUAUUAAUUAUUAAUUAAAAUAAAAUAUAAAUUUUUUAAACUAAUGUGUGUUGUUAGCGUUAAAUUGAUUUUUAUUUUUAAAUGAUAAAAUAUUAAGUUAAUAACUUGAUUAAACAUUUUGAAAGAUUUUUUUAAUACAAAAUUUUUAACAUAUUUAAUUUACCUAUUAAAUAAAACAACUUUAUACAAUGAAAAAAAUUAUUGGAAUUAGGAUUUGAACUUCAUACUUAUUAAAUAUUAUUUUUUAAAAAUAAUUAUAUAAAAUGUUUUCAUUUAAACAGUUCCUAUAAGAUAUUUUAAGAUCCGAAUCACAUAUAUUUGAAUGGUUAGAGGGGAUAAUGGUUCGGUAUGGAUCAAAUUUGGUUCAAUUUUUUUGGAUAUUAAAUAACAUAAUAAAAUUUUCAAAUUUGAUCCAAAUCCAAAUCCAAAUCGAACCUUCAUUAGAUCCAAUCAAAUCAAACCGAAUUUUACUGAUUCGGUUUGAUUCAGUUUACUGAUUUUUAAUUUUUAAUUUUAAUAUAAAAUUUUAAUAUAUUUAAGUAAAUUUUGAUAUAAAAUUAUUUUUUUUAUUUUAUAAAUAUUUAAAAUAUAUAUAAAAACUAAGAAAAAUAUAUAAUUCGGUUCAUUUAUUUUUAGUUUUUUACUUCUCGAUCCGAACCUAAUAUAUAUAUAUUUAAUAUCCGAAUUUAAUUCAAAUUGAAUAACAAAAAAACUGAUCUAAACCAAUCGAAUAUUACAAUUUUGAAUCAAUUUUUGAAUUUCUCAUUUUUUUUCUCACCCAUAUGCGUAGCAAUAAAGACCCGUUUACUUAUGAUAUUUUCUUUAAAAGAUAAUAUUAUUAUUUUGCCUUUAGCCCAUGUAAUAACUUCUCUGUUUCCUGUUUACUGGUCUGCUAGUUCAUAUGAUAGUGUCUAAGAAUCAUAUUUUUAUAACAGAUUGAGGUAUAAUAUGUUCUUUGAAGGUGUCUUAUAAUUUUAAAUGAUAAAGAGUCAGUUAUAGAUGCCGGUUUUCUUUUAUAUACAAAUAAUGUAAUAUCUGUUUUAUUUGGAUGAUAUAGUCUAACCCCUUUUCUCAGGAUUGAUGAGAAAACCUGGUGAUCUAUGAGACUUACCUAUGGUGGCUGUUGAAUCUCUUGGCGCUGCAAUGUUGGUCACAAUAACACUUGAUUUUUGGCGCAUCUUUCUUGGACCUAUUGUUUCACGAGCAAAUACAAGACAAUGCAUUCAACCAGGACUGCCAUGGUUUGCAGGAAGUGCAAACGUAGUUUCACAAAACCAACGUGCAAAAUAGGACAACUCCUGGUUCAAAUCCUCGUACGAGUAGGGGACAGUGCUCGAGUCCUGGAUUUUGUGGUUAAUGUUCAUUAGUUGCGGUGAUUGGUAGAUGCAUAUCUGAUCCCUGCUGGAUAUGUGAUUAGUUGAUGAACUGAUUCAGUGAUAUGUUUAUGUGCCAUUCAUGGUGUAUUUGCAAGAAAAUUGUGAACUCGAAAACAAUCUGAGUUCAUUGUAAUGGAAGUUCUGCAAACUUGUUGCCUAAAUCAAUCUAAGCUUAUUGUCUUAAUGCCUUUUGCUUGUUUUUAAAAUAGUUUUUCCAUAUCUGGAGAGGCUAAUUUUAAUACUCAAGAAUUUAUUAAAUAUUAUUUUUUGAUGAUUAUAUAAAACAAUUGAAUCAGAUUUUUUGUUUGUAAACUCUUUCUUUCUCCAUGAAAACGCGCACAAGUUGACAUUGAGAUGCAUGAAGGGUAAAGAUUAUUAAAGUCAUUUUUCAACCCCACUUGUUAGCUAUUUUGUCAUCAUGACUCAAUCACUCAUAAGACUAAACUCGUCUGAAGAAAUUUUCUUUUCAGUUUUUCCUUCAACCGACCAAAUACACGCAAUUCUUAAUAUAUGUCGAAAAUUUUACUAAACUAUAAUUAAAUUUGGAUAGGAUAAAAAAAGAAGUUCGUUUUGACCGUUAAAUUAAAUAGUAUUCUAUGUAUAUUUUGUUGGUAGUUUAUAGUACGAUGCAUUCUAUAUUAAAUAUAAAAUUUUAAUUAUUGAUGAAAAAUUUUAAAUUUUAUAUUAAUUUUAUUCAUAUCUUAAAUAAUUAUAUUCGAAUAAAAAUAAUUAUUAUAUGAUAAAUAAUCAUAACUAUUUAAAUAUAAAUAGAUUAUUUUUCAUAAAGAUUAUGAUUAUACAAAAAAUCAUAAUCAUUUACAUAAAAAAUUAUAUCUAUUCAUUUAUUAUAAAUAGAUAUUUCAUUAUAAUUAUUUAUAAAAAAUAUUUUUCACAUCUUAAAACUAAAAUUUUUUUAAUUAUUUUUAUUCUCUUAUUUAUGUUUUCUAACGCAUUUAAACUUAUUGUCCCUAGUGUCUCUAUCCUGCCUUCCUUUUGAGAGCUGUUUACGUGAAAACUGAGAAACUAAUAAUUUCAACUUAUUUCCCAUUUUGUCAUCUUCUUCUUCAUCGUUUGAACACUUGAUUUUUCACAAAUUCGCAGCACUUUCUUCUUCAUAUCAUAGAUAAGUCGGUUCAUGACUGCAGGCAGUCGAGGGACACGGCUUUGACAGGUGCUUGAAAUCUUAUCUCUAUAUAUAAAAUUUCGACUACCCAUUUCUGCAGAUCCAAAGCCUGCAAUCUUUGAUUAUUCCCCAAGCUUUAAUUUCUUUCUUUGUUCUUGCAUAUAUAUAUAACCAAAUUUUUUCCAUGCAAAAGGAGAGAAUUACCGUUUGAAUCCAAAACUUUCCAUUGUUUCCAAUCACCCAAGCUGUUUUUUUGUGACAGUUCUUUUUUCUUGAGGUUGCCUGAUAGAUUUGCAGUGUGAAAUAUGAUGAGAAGUGAAGAAUAUGAACGCAUUCUUCGAUAUUUCGACAAAGAUGGAGAUGGGAAAAUUUCAGCGGCAGAGUUAAGCCAUAGACUAGGCCAGAUGGGUGGAGAGCUACCGUUAAAUGAAGCUGAAGUUGCAGUGGAAGCAUUGGACUCGAACGAGGAUGGAUUGUUGGAUUUGGAAGAUCUAAUAGGGUUGAUGGAAGAAAGAGGAGAAGAAGAAAAGUUGAAGGAUUUGAGAGAAGCUUUUGGGAUGUAUGAUGUUAAUGGAUGUGGAUUCAUCACACCUCAAGGACUCAAGAGAAUGCUCAGCAAACUUGGGGAGUCAAAGUCAAUUGAUGAUUGUAAGGUGAUGAUCAAGCAAUUUGACCUCAAUGGAGACGGUGUUCUCAGCUUUGACGAAUUCAGAGUUAUGAUGCAGUGAUUUUUUUUUUCUUUUUACCCUUUUCAUUGCUUU